UGCAAUGUCCGCAAGACCAAGCUGUUGAGGAAACUUUCCCGGUUUAUGGAGGCAAGAAUGAUUUCUUAGUUGUUUUUCAAGGAAAAUUAUGUUUCACAUUUGUACCUUCCAGAAAACAGACUGAACUGAGAUCUCUCAAAUAGUCUUUUUUAAAUAUCAGAAAGAAAAAUAUAUGGCAAAUGGCUGAAACAAUGGACAGAUUGUUUAUAACUUGUCGGGUGACAAUAAUGUGUAAAAUGUCUGCCCUGAAGGUAUUUUUGUAUGUGAAUUCUCCAGCAAAACAUGAGUCAGUGGGACUAAAAUGUCCUAUCUAGGUAGUUAAGGGUUGGUUUUUCUAUACCAGGAUAGAAUUUUUUAUCAUGAUAGUGUCACAUUUUGUUGCAGAAGCCACACAAAACAAAACCUACAAUGAAAGCACUGAAUAGAUCUCAACAGUUUCCCCAAAUUCAAGAAUUGUUGAAGCAGAGGGAUUUUUCACUGACAAUAUGUCACAACUGAAUGCAAUGCAAGGUCAACAAAGUAUGAAGGUUAAUACAUCAAUGAGGAUUAAUUGUCAUUCUGCCUUUCCCUAAAUUAUUUCUCUGUUACAGGCUCAUCUUAUAUCCGCCCUAGUCCAUUUCCACCCUAUUCAUCUCUUCUGCAAACUCAUACACUUUUCAUGCAGCAGAUUCUGCUUCUAUACUGUGCGUGGAUCACCUCUGGCAUCCAUGGCAGACUGUCCGCUCUUGCCCAGCACCCAUGGGGAACCCAUCAGAAUUGCCUUCUGUCAAGUCUCAGGUGGGGUCCGAGGCCAGUUGGUUGGUCCAGACCCAGAAAUAAAAGGUGAAUAAUAAGAGCAACGUAGGCAAGGAAGCAGGGGCAGAUCUCUGUAUCCAGCCAGCAAGCAUAAAGCUGGGGGCGGGUGACAAAUAGUCCAGCAACAUGGAGAAUUUGGAGGCAACUGAGGGUGAUGGGUCAGAAUCAGGCCCUACUGACUCUGAGGAUGAGGACACCUGAGGAGAUACAGUGGAGGAGCAGGAAGAGGCCUUGCCCAGGAAUCUACGAUUAUAUCCUUGUUGAA
rnacentral:lncRNA from 1 species